rnacentral:other from 1 species
UUAAUCCUGCUGUGUUCGUGAUGUUGCGACUCGUUUUGAGCCAACACCCACAACGAGGGGAUUGCCGUCUGAAAUGAAGGUGAUAGGCUUGCGUAGCCAAGACCAGAGUUCUCAGGAGAAUUCCCACCUGCGAAAGCAGGUUCAAAACACUGUGACACACGGCAUGGCGGGUUUCCG